rnacentral:tRNA from 1 species
CUCGUAUUAAGCGCGUUUAGCUCAGCGGGAGAGCGCUUCCCUGACACGGAAGAGGUCACUGGUUCAAUCCC